AUUGAACGCUGGCGGCAGGCCUAACACAUGCAAGUCGAACGGUAGCACAGAGAGCUUGCUCUCGGGUGACGAGUGGCGGACGGGUGAGUAAUGUCUGGGAAGCUGCCUGAUGGAGGGGGAUAACUACUGGAAACGGUAGCUAAUACCGCAUAACGUCGCAAGACCAAAGAGGGGGACCUUCGGGCCUCUUGCCAUCAGAUGUGCCCAGAUGGGAUUAGCUAGUAGGUGGGGUAACGGCUCACCUAGGCGACGAUCCCUAGCUGGUCUGAGAGGAUGACCAGCCACACUGGAACUGAGACACGGUCCAGACUCCUACGGGAGGCAGCAGUGGGGAAUAUUGCACAAUGGGCGCAAGCCUGAUGCAGCCAUGCCGCGUGUAUGAAGAAGGCCUUCGGGUUGUAAAGUACUUUCAGCGGGGAGGAAGGCGAUAAGGUUAAUAACCUUGUCGAUUGACGUUACCCGCAGAAGAAGCACCGGCUAACUCCGUGCCAGCCGCCGCGGUAAAAC
rnacentral:rRNA from 1 species